rnacentral:rRNA from 1 species
CAGUCGUGAGGAAGGUGGUAGUCGUUAAUAGCACUAUCAUUUGACGUUAGCGACAGAAGAAAGCACCGGCUAACUCCCGUGCCAGCAGCCGCGGUAAUACGGAGGUGCGAGCGUUAAUCGGAAUUACUGGGCGUAAAGCGCAUGCAGGUGGUUUGUUAAGUCAGAUGUGAAAGACCCGGGGCGUCAACCUCGGAAUAGCAUUUGAAACUAGGCAGACUAGAGUACUGUAGAGGGGGGUAGGAAUUUCUAGGUGUAGCGGUGAAAUGCGUAGAGAUCUGAAGGAAUACCGGUGGCGAAGGCGCCCCCCUCGGACAGAUACUGACACUCAGAUGCGAAAGCGUGGGGAGCAAACAGGAUUAGAUACCCUGGUAG